UACGUAGGGUGCGAGCGUUGUCCGGAAUUAUUGGGCGUAAAGGGCUCGUAGGCGGUUUGUCGCGUCGGGAGUGAAAUCCACUGGCUUAACUGGUGGCUUGCUUUCGAUACGGGCAGACUGGAGGUGUGCAGGGGAGAACGGAAUUCCUGGUGUAGCGGUGAAAUGCGCAGAUAUCAGGAGGAACACCGGUGGCGAAGGCGGUUCUCUGGGCAUGUCCUGACGCUGAGACGCGAAAGCGUGGGGAGCGAACAGG
rnacentral:rRNA from 1 species